rnacentral:rRNA from 1 species
GCGUACGCGUCGGCAUUAUUGGGCGUAAGAGCUCGUAGGCGGUUUGUCGCGUCUGCAUGUGAAAACCCGAGGCUCAACCUCGGGCCUGCAGUGGGUACGGGCAGACUAGAGUGCGGUAGGGGAGAUUGGAAUUCCUGGUGUAGCGGUGGAAUGCGCAGAUAUCAGGAGGAACACCAAUGGCGAAGGCAGAUCUCUGGGCCGUAACUGACGCUGAGGAGCGAAAGCAUGGGGAGCGAACAGGAUUAGAUACCCUGGUAGUCCAUGCCGUAAACGUUGGGAACUAGAUGUGGGGACCAUUCCACGGUCUCCGUGUCGCAGCUAACGCAUUAAGUUCCCCGCCUGGGGAGUACGGCCGCAAGGCUAAAACUCAAAGGAAUUGACGGGGGCCCGCACAAGCGGCGGAGCAUGCGGAUUAAUUCGAUGCAACGCGAAGAACCUUACCAAGGCUUGACAUAUACAGGAAAGGGUUGGAAACAGUCGCCCCGCAAGGUCUCUAUACAGGUGGUGCAUGGUUGUCGUCAGCUCGUGUCGUGAGAUGUUGGGUUAAGUCCCGCAACGAGCGCAACCCUCGUCCUAUGUUGCCAGCACGUAAUGGUGGGAACUCAUGGGAUACUGCCGGGGUCAACUCGGAGGAAGGUGGGGAUGACGUCAAAUCAUCAUGCCCCUUAUGUCUUGGGCUUCACGCAUGCUACAAUGGCCGGUACAAAGGGCUGCAAUACCGCAAGGUGGAGCGAAUCCCAAAAAGCCGGGCUCACUUCGGAUUGAGGUCUGCAACUCUACUUCAUGAAGUCGGAGUCUCUAAUAAUCGCAGAUCAGCAACGCUGCGGUGAAUACGUUCCCGGGCCUUGUACACACCGCCCGUCGUAA